rnacentral:tRNA from 1 species
CCUCAUAGCUCAGUCGGUAAAGAAUCAGCCUGCAAUACUGGAGAUCCGGGUUCGAUUCCUGGGUGAGGA